rnacentral:rRNA from 1 species
AUGAAUCUCCUUGUUUGGAACUGUCGGGGAUUGGGGUUGGACCCGACAGGUGGAGAGCUGAGGGACCCGAUUAGGUCGUACAACACGACGGUGGUGUUCCUGAGCGAGACUAAGAAGAAGGCGCGAGCUAUGGAAAAGGUUAAAUGGAGUUUGGGGUUCCGUAAUGGCAUUGUUGUGGACUGUGAUGGUAGGAGUGGUGGACUACCCCUGCUUUGGAGAGAUCAUAUUACGGUUACAGCUAGGCCGUGGUGCCAGUACUACAUUGAUGCAGAGAUUACUUUAGAGGGGAGAACCGUCAGAUUCACUGGAAUCUACGAAGAACCUAGAACGGAGCAGAGGCAGAAAACAUGGGAGGUUCUUCGCUACCUAAGACGACAAGAUGAUUUUCCUUGGCUUUGUGCAGGGGACUUUAAUGAAAUUCUCUUUCAAACGGAGCAACGAGGUGGAAAUCCUAGAAACUUUAACCAGAUGGAGGACUUUCGGGAGUGUCUCGGCGAUUGUGAAUUGCGAUUUGGGUUUCACCGGAUACCCUUUUAUGUGGGACAAUAA